CCCUCACCACGCAGCUCUGAGCGGGGCAGAGCUCAGGGCCCGCCGGAGACGCGCUCGGGGAGAAUGACAAACAUCCGUAUCAAGGCCCCACAUACCAUGCUGCAAACUGGAGCCAAAUCCUGAGGCAAAAGCUCCCCAGCUUCUAAAUUAGGUGCUGAAUUAUGCAGCAGUUCAAGAGGCUGGCUGGAGUUGGGAGAAGCCACUUCCUCCAGCUAGUCUGCAGGAGGCUGAGGUUUGGAGAAUGGAGAAUUACCAGCAGCAGAACAAAGGAAUCGGGUGUUGUUGGGGAACACACUCAGAGCGCUCAGAAAGACUCGGGAAGCUUUGGGCAGGAGACAGGGAAAGAAACAGGCAGUAUUACAUGUUUGCAAGAACCAUGUACUUUUUUCCACAGGAGCUUGGCAAGGCCGUGUUCUAUCACUGUCAUUGUUUAACACUGACUUUGAUUGGCUGAUGGAUAAGCUUGAAAAGGCAGCUCUCAGUGGCACUGAGCUGGACAAUAUUCUGU